GAUUCCUUCAGAGAUGAGAGGCUGCAGCCAUCCUUCGAGAUGUUGGGACCGGAGACCCUGCAGGCUGGCUGGGCAUUGAUGCCCCAGAUGUGAAGGGGCAGCCAACCUGUUGGCCACGUCUGACCCUUCCUGAGCAAAUGACACCAACAUCUCUUUCGUGAGAAGAAAGAGAGGAGGGAAGAUGCUCUGUGAUGCUGCCAGUAAUGCUGACCAGUCGUGGUGCUGUCACCUCCUUGGCUGUCUUUGCAAUCUGUUCCCAACUGAGGUUUCCAUUGCAGUGUAACUGACCACUCCAGGGGCCACUGAGGGCUGUCAGGAUGAGCUAUCCCUCCACCCCAGGCUGUCACUGCCAGCAAGAAGUUGCAGCUGAAGGAUGUGGUCCAUGAGAGAUCCCAGGGCAUGGACCAGAGGCAGAAAGAGGAUCUUGUCAGUAACCUCAAAAACUCGGAUUAGGUCCUGAAUUUACAUCUCUGGUCUUUGGUUUAGGUUUGUAAUUAAAAGAUGAAAGCACUUGGCUUCCUUGCAUAAGCGACUUUGGUUUUGCCAUGGCUGUCUACCUGUGUUGGCCAACAUGGCAGCCCCGAGUCACAUGAGGCUCCUGAGCAUAGGGAACCAGGCUCAUCUGAAGCGAGAUGCACUGCAAGAGUGAAGUACCCGCUGCAUCUGGGGGACUUAAUGCAUGCAAAAGAACAUGAAAUACCUCAUCCAUAUUUUUGGUAUUGAUGACGUGUUGAAAUAAUA
ensembl:lncRNA novel transcript